AAGGUGUUGGCCAAUCAUCAAAUAUUGUCACUCCAAAGAACACAUUUAACAGCCGGGAAGAAAAUUGUAGGAAAAGAGAGCACUUUGGCACGGAAGGGGUCUAUCGCCCUGGUUGGAGUGCAGCAGUGUAAUCAUAGCUCACUGCUGCCAUGAACUUCUGGGCUCAAGCGAUCCUCCCACCUCAGCCUCCCUGUGUGCUGGGAUUAAAAGUGUGAGCCACCGUGCCUCAUCGUAAGGGUCUUAAAAGAAACCCUAUUUCAUGUUUGCUUUCCAUAUGCUGGAUGAUGUGUGUGGAUUUUCAGUGUGUGUUUCAGAGUCUUAAAAGCUCAUGCUAGCUUGCUUAACAUACCUGCCAUAACUCAUGAUAUAGAACCCUAUGGAGAACUGUGUUGCAACAUGGAUGCAGUGCCUAUACUAAGGCACAUUGCCAAGCUGAAGACUGUCAGAGAGCAUCACUAACGGAGUGAUGGCAGCAGCAGCCCAUCCAGAAUGGCUGCUGCCAACAUACGG
rnacentral:lncRNA from 1 species